ensembl:lncRNA LINC01192 long intergenic non-protein coding RNA 1192
CUGCAACAUGCUGCUGUUGCUGGGAGUGGGAAAGAGGUGGCAUCGGCGGUUCAAGACUGAGUUUUCUAUCUCUUCAGUGCCUCUUUCAACAAUGAAGAUCAAACCAGGUUUUGUGCAAAUAUCUGCUGAGUGAACUACUUAUUUGAAAAUACAUCAUUGGUUAAUAUUCCCUUUUGCUCAUUGAAAUCUCAAAGACUACAGACCCCGCACAAGACAUUCUGACAUUCCCGUCUUUGAAAUGAAUGACAGCAAUGAUAAAUAUGGCUCACCUCCAGAGAUACAGAUCUCACAACUUCAUAUUUUUAAUAUAAAUUAUUAAUCUGAGAAGCAGAGAGAGAUAAGACCCAUGAUAAUCAAGCCAUAAACAGAUGCAUUUACUAGCUGAAUGGCCAACAAUGGAAUUCAACAAAUCCAUCUUGAGCACGGCAGCCAGGAGUGUGGUGCAAUUCCAUUAGAUGAAAGAGAUCUACACAUUCAGAAGCACAUGAUUCUUCCCCCUUCCAUGAUUCCAGUGGCCAAUAGAAACUUUUGCCUGACCCAUGAUCACAUAGGUGCCUAAUAUCAAGUUGAGAGAAAUCUUACACUACAAAUUUGCUGAGAGUUUGCACCAUGAAUAAAUUCCAAAUAUUGUCAAAAGACAAACUACAAUAAAGCCAUGCCCUGACUGGAUGUGCCUAACAUUUGUCUGGUGCUUAAAGGAGUUGGCUGCAUGCGUGGGAUGGAGAAGGAUUCAACAUUUAAUGGCAGUUAGAAUCAAAUUUUUAACUCAAGAAGGCAGAAGGAAUCCACCUAAAUAAAUGUUGGAAAGUCACCAAAAAUAGUUCUCCAAGUCAGAAGCGGUGCAAAAGCUGCCUCAGCUCUUGGUGGAUUUUCAAUUUCUCCCAGCCAUCUCUGUUUCGCUAAAGGUUUCUGAAGACAGUGGGUAUGUGGCAAACUUCUGCAAUUCUAUAUUAAGAUAAACUGUUA